GAGAAGCCUUACUAGCUGGUCGUUCAUCAUCUUUCCCUUGAUGUGCCAUCUAAUUUUCAAGGUUCUUCGGAAUUAAAGAGCCAAGUCUUCUUCAUUGAAGGGGAUUAGACCAAGUAGCUUUGCAAGUUGGUGUUUUAUUGUGUUAUGUGUGUUCUUUGGCAUGAACCUUUGAGCUUGUAACCUUUGAACUUGCAACCUUUGAGUUUGUGGAGAGCUAUCGAGUAAAGGCAAGGCCUUGGAGGGAGCUUGACUACAUUUUGGGCUUUCUUGUUGAAUAGAGCAUGUGAUCAAUCUCUGUGCUGGGCAGUUGCUUGUAUGUUGUGUUUUGUGUUGUAGGUAUGUACACACUAUUUUGGAGAUGUUGUGUAUUCUAUGAUCUUGUAUAGACUGGAUCCGUUGGGUUGUAUAUUUUGAUAUCUAUACCACUUUGUGUACUCGUAUUUUGUUCUAUGACUAUAUCUAUAAUGUCCACUCCA